GUACAUUAUUCAUCUUUAUUUUACCUGCCACUUGUCUACUUUUACCUCCACAUUGUCACUUUAAAAUAUGACUAAUUUUCUAGCUUUUAAAGUAGUUAUUAAUUAUUUUUUCUUGCCUGUUUCUGUAGAUUCCCCAAGAAAUGAGAAGGAAUUGCAGCAUCUUCACAUUGCAACAUUAUGCAGUUAAUUUUGGAGCUGCAAGAAGGUAGACAUCUGCAGAUUUGAAAACCGUUGAAACAAAUUGUCUACAGUCCUGCAUUUGGUUUGCUUUUCCCAGUUGUAAACUGAAACGUUACAGUUUAUAGUUAAUUUAGAUUGCCCAACAAAUGAGAAGGAAUUGAAGCAUCUUAACCUUGCAACAUUAUGCAGUUAAUUUUGGACCUGCAGAAGGUAGACAUCUGCAGAUUUGAAAACCGUUGAAACAAAUUGUCUACAGUCCUGCAUUUGGUUUGCUUUUCACCUUGCAAACUUUGGAGCGUUACAGUCUAUAGUUAAUUAAGAUCGACGUUGGAGAAGACAAAGAUGACCCCAUAGUUGAAA